AGCGAACGCUGGCGGCAGGCCUAACACAUGCAAGUCGAACGGAUCCUUCGGGAUUAGUGGCGGACGGGUGAGUAACACGUGGGAACGUGCCCUUUGGUUCGGAACAACUCAGGGAAACUUGAGCUAAUACCGGUUGUGCCCUUCGGGGGAAAGAUUUAUCGCCAUUGGAGCGGCCCGCGUCUGUUUAGCUAGUUGGUGAGGUAACGGCCCACCAAGGCGACGAUCAGUAGCUGGUCUGAGAGGAUGAUCAGCCACACUGGGACUGAGACACGGCCCAGACUGCUACGGGAGGCAGCAGUGGGGAAUCUUGCGCACUGGGCGCAAGCGUGACGCAGCCAUGCCGCGUGAAUGAUGAAGGUCUUAGGAUUGUAAAAUUCUUUCAGCGGGGACGAUAAUGACGGUAACCGCAGAAGAAGCGCCGGCUAACUUCGUG
rnacentral:rRNA from 1 species